AAAAAAAAAAAAAAAAAAAAAAAGAAAAAGGCGCCUCUCAAUCGAAUUCGAUCACACCUCAGUCGCGCCAAUCACCUCGCCUCACAAUCAACAUUGCCGUCCGCCGUCCUCGCCUUUCCAUCAUCAACGCCGCCGUCUGUCUUCCCCAUUUCUGAUUCGUCUUCGCCUGGCACCGUCAUCUAGGUCCUCACCAUUGCAAUUUUUCAGAGCAUCUUGAACUCUCCCUAAAAACAAUUUGAGUCUGUUGAGUUAGUCUGUUGGGCAUCUUGGAGUUUGCCGAGGGAUGCCCUCUUGGCAAGUCUGGCUUACAGUGGCUCAAGAUACAUAUGGCGAAUUUGUAUGCUAGUGGUGUGGGCAAGUUUUCCUACGAGGGUCGAAUUGCAUUUAUUGAGAAUCAUUUAGAUGAUAUCUUUGAUUCAGCAGACAGACCUCUUGAAAGAAGGCGCUGGUGGUUGGUUGCAGAGGAUCCAUGUCAAUGCUUGGCAACAUGUAUUAAUCUUGCUGAAGCAUUGAGAAGCUCCUCUCCAAAGACUACUAUUUCAUGCAUGCCUGUCCACAAGGUACUGUAGUCUAACCAUAAAAAAAAAAAAAA